UACGUAGGGUGCGAGCGUUAAUCGGAAUUACUGGGCGUAAAGCGUGCGUAGACGGUUAUUUAAGUCAGAUGUGAAAGCCCCGGGCUCAACCUGGGAAUUGCAUUUGAGACUGAAUAGCUAGGGUACGGUAGAGGGAAGCGGAAUUUCCGGUGUAGCGGUGAAAUGCGUAGAUAUCGGAAGGAACAUCAGUGGCGAAAGCGGCUUCCUGGACCAGUACCGACGUUCAGGCACGAAAGCGUGGGGAGCAAACAGG
rnacentral:rRNA from 1 species